GGUCGUGAUCGGGGUCGUACCUCCCGCCUCGGCGCGGUCGGUAUCGUCGGGACUCGGCCUCGUCCCUGUCACGUCGCCUGGCCUCGAGGGUCGCCCGCACGUCCGCGUCGGCUCCGACGCGCUCGUGUACUGACGGGGCCCUGUUGCCCCCUUGUGGGUUAGGGGGCGGCGGACCCUGUACCGUUGGUGCCUUGUUAGGGGUGGUCGUUCCUCACGACGUCUCGUGCCGUGGGAUUGUGAGGCAGAACUCUCCGCGUUUUGCAC
rnacentral:lncRNA from 1 species